rnacentral:rRNA from 1 species
GAUGAACGCUGGCGGCGUGCCUAAUACAUGCAAGUCGAGCGAACAGACGAGGAGCUUGCUCCUCUGACGUUAGCGGCGGACGGGUGAGUAACACGUGGAUAACCUACCUAUAAGACUGGGAUAACUUCGGGAAACCGGAGCUAAUACCGGAUAAUAUAUUGAACCGCAUGGUUCAAUAGUGAAAGACGGUUUUGCUGUCACUUAUAGAUGGAUCCGCGCCGCAUUAGCUAGUUGGUAAGGUAACGGCUUACCAAGGCAACGAUGCGUAGCCGACCUGAGAGGGUGAUCGGCCACACUGGAAAGGAGACACGGUCCAGACCUCUACGGGAGGCAGCAGUAGGGAACCUUCCGCAAGGGGCGAAAGCCUGACGGAGCAACGCCGCGUGAGUGAUGAAGGGCUUCGGAUCGUAAAACUCGGUUAUUAGGGAAGAACAAAUGUGUAAGUAACGAUGCACGUCUUGACGGUACCUAAACAGAAAGCCACCGCUAACCACGUGC